UGGCAAACGGGUGAGGAAUAUAGAGGAAUCUACCUAGCAGUAAGGAAUAACUUUGGGAAACUAAAGCUAAUGCCAUAUAUUACCGAUUUAUCGGGAAAGAUUUAUCGCUGUUAGAUGAGCCUCUAUCGGAUUAGCUAGUUGGUAGGGUAAUGGCCUACCAAGGCAGAGAUCCGUAGCUGGUCUGAGAGGAUGAUCAGCCACACUGGGACUGAGACACGGCCCAGACUCC
rnacentral:rRNA from 1 species